AGGAGCGAAGAAAGGAAAUGGGCUCAGAGGGAAAGAGAACAUGGAGUGAAGAGAUUGAAGCUGUAACCUAUGAUAAAGCCAAAACCAGUGAAAUAUUGUGAAUUUUAUCUGAAGGGUAGAUGCCAGCAGGUUUGCUGCCCAGUUAUUCACUCUUUUUUUGAAAGUUAAGAAGUUGUUUGAAAAUGAGGAAGAUCUCAUCUGUCUUGUCAUUCUUAUGUCUCCUUAGUGGGAAAUUUGUGCAAAUUUUCUCGUGAUACUACUCCACUGACAAAGUCUCAGUGCAGCCAUGCGGGUUUUUUGCAUGUGAUAUAUGCUUAAAAGGGGAUGAUUGUCCAUUUGAUCAUCAGCUUUCCAAGUAUCCUUGUCACAAUUUCAUGUCAAAAGGCAUGUGUAUAAGAUGAGAUAAAUGCAAGUUCUCUCUCAAGGUGCCAAACCUUGAAGUUACUUCUACAACAACAUUAGAUAACUUUUCAAUUCCUCCUCCAUCAAAUGAAAAAUCAAAUUUAAGAAAGCAAGUCAAUGUUAUGAAAAAUUGUCUCGCUCCAUAUGAUACUCCAAAACGUUCGAGUUCCAAGUAGACAUUCUCAUCUAUGAAGACAUGAAGGAGAACUUGAUGGAGAAAUUUCUUAAAUGUCCUUUAAAAAUACACAGUGGAAUGCGCUUCCUUUCAUUUGAAAAAGAGCCAUUGGAUGGUGCUGAUAAGCAUCAGAAUACAUCGGUUGAUGAGAGUUCUACAGGAAUACCAAUUUGCAAUCAAUAGAUCAAAGAUAAAAUGGCAGUGGAUGGAAAUAAGAAUUUGAGUGCCUCUACGAAACCUCUUUCUGUGGUACAACAGAGUUCUAGCAUAACGUUGAAUACAGUUGUUUUGUCUCCUUCAGCAAAUGUGACAACCGGUAAGGAAUCAAAGAAUGACGACUUUUGCAGUCUCCCAUUUGCUGGUGACCUCCAGAAUAG